GAUGAACGCUGGCGGCGUGCUUAACACAUGCAAGUCGAACGGGGUUAUCAUUUUUGAAGCAAUUAGCUUGCUAAGAGUGGAAAUGUUGAUAACUUAGUGGCGGACGGGUGAGUAACGCGUGGGGAACCUGCCUUGCACCGGGGGAUAACACUUAGAAAUAGGUGCUAAUACCGCAUAAGCGCACAGAGCCGCAUGGCUCGGUGUGAAAAACUCCGGUGGUGCAAGAUGGACCCGCGUCUGAUUAGCUGGUUGGCGGGGUAACGGCCCACCAAGGCGACGAUCAGUAGCCGGCCUGAGAGGGUGAACGGCCACAUUGGGACUGAGACACGGCCCAA
rnacentral:rRNA from 1 species